rnacentral:rRNA from 1 species
GACGAACGCUGGCGGCGUGCUUAACACAUGCAAGUCGAGCGGUAAGGCCCUUUCGGGGGUACACGAGCGGCGAACGGGUGAGUAACACGUGGGUGACCUGCCCUCAGCUCUGGGAUAAGCCUGGGAAACCGGGUCUAAUACUGGAUAUGACUCCAUGACGCAUGUUGUGGGGUGAAAGCCUUGUGCGGCUGAGGAUGGGCCCGCGGCCUAUCAGCUUGUUGGUGGGGUGANGGCCUACCAAGGCGACGACGGGUAGCCGGCCUGAGAGGGCGACCGGCCACACUGGGACUGAGACACGGCCCAGACUCCUACGGGAGGCAGCAGUGGGGAAUCUUGCGCAAUGGGCGAAAGCCUGACGCAGCGAACGCCGC